rnacentral:rRNA from 1 species
CACGUAGGGCGCAAGCGUUGUCCGGAAUUAUUGGGCGUAAAGAGCUCGUAGGCGGUCUGUUGCGUCCGCUGUGAAAACCUAAGGCUCAACCUUGGGCUUGCAGUGGGUACGGGCAGACUAGAGUGCGGUAGGGGUGACUGGAAUUCCUGGUGUAGCGGUGGAAUGCGCAGAUAUCAGGAGGAACACCGAUGGCGAAGGCAGGUCACUGGGCUAUAACUGACGCUCAUGCACGAAAGCGUGGGGAGCAAACAGG